GAGGGUAUAGCUCAAGUGAUAAAGCGCAUGCCUAGCAUGCAUAAGGUUCUGGGUUCAAUCCCCACUACCUCCC
rfam:Camelus ferus unplaced genomic scaffold scaffold755, whole genome shotgun sequence.